GGCCCCGUAGCUCAAAUGGAUAGAGCAGAGGUUUCCUAAACCUUUGGCUGUGCGUUCGAUUCGCGCCGGGGCCA
rnacentral:tRNA from 1 species